AGUGAACGCUGGCGGUAGGCCUAACACAUGCAAGUCGAACGGCAGCACAGUAAGAGCUUGCUCUUACGGGUGGCGAGUGGCGGACGGGUGAGGAAUACAUCGGAAUCUACUUUUUCGUGGGGGAUAACGUAGGGAAACUUACGCUAAUACCGCAUACGACCUACGGGUGAAAGCAGGGGAUCUUCGGACCUUGCGCGAUUGAAUGAGCCGAUGUCGGAUUAGCUAGUUGGCGGGGUAAAGGCCCACCAAGGCGACGAUCCGUAGCUGGUCUGAGAGGAUGAUCAGCCACACUGGAACUGAGACACGGUCCAGACUCCUACGGGAGGCAGCAGUGGGGAAUAUUGGACAAUGGGCGAAAGCCUGAUCCAGCCAUACCGCGUGGGUGAAGAAGGCCUUCGGGCUGUAAAGCCCUUUUGUUGGGAAAGAAAAGCAGCAGGUUAAUACCCCGCUGUUCUGACGGUACCCAAAGAAUAAGCACCGGCUAACUUCGUG
rnacentral:rRNA from 1 species